UUUUCUGUUUCAAACUGCUUUGUUCAAAUUAAUGGCAAACGCAAGAUGUUCAUAAAACCCAAUUACACUCUUGCCUGAUACUAUUGAAUAAAAUUGUUGAAAUUAGUCAGUUUCAGUUUAGAUUUGCAGUUUUAUUUAA
ensembl:ncRNA F47A4.6 ncRNA